UCACGUUCUACCUUCGACAUGUUUCCAGCGGUACAGCGGUCACUGACGAUUAUGGUCGGGGAAGAUUUGGACGAAUCUGGAGGAGGCGAACAUGGGUCUUUGGAAUGCUAGGCAUUAAAGGCAUGAGAAGGCGGCUCGUUCUGAGGCUAGUCAGAAAACAGACCUGGUGGCACUUGAUCCCAGUCAUAAGGUGUUAUGAUUGCCAAGGGACCACUAUCAUCUCAGAUCAAUAGAGGGUUUAGAUGACGGCACUGGCUAAUAGUGGAUAUGUUCACUAUUCAGUAAACCACAGCUGGUCAUUUGUAAACGCAGAAACAGGUGCCCAUACAAAGAACAUUGACUGUGAGUGGUCUACCUACAAAUCCCAGGUCUGGAGACUGCCUGGCAAUCGAACAGAGAACACCUUGAAGAAACAGCUUGCCUCAAUAGAGUGGACACAUUGGGUGGCCAAAUCUCACAAGAAUGGUGCACUUGGACAUAUGCUUCACGAGAUAUGCAAACAGUACAAAGUUUAAAAUAUAUGGAAACGAUAGUUUCCAUUUAUUGGGGGAAAUGCUUGCAUGUGUGUGUGUGUCUAACUUUAAGGUACAUUUUGUGUAAUAAAUACUGUCUCUUCUG